rnacentral:rRNA from 1 species
AUGCAGCUGGCUCAUACACUGUAUUACACUGUAUCAGAGAUAACACCGAAGAAAUUGUACAGAGCAACUCAUGUGAAUGCAGAGAAAAGAAGCACGUACUGUAAGACUGAUUUUGAAAUAGAAAUAACUGAUGAUGGGGAAAAGUACAGAUGCCAAUGCGGACUAUUUGACCACAUGGGUAUGGUAUGCUGCCACAUAAUCAAGGUGAUGAUGGUAUUGGAUGUUAAAAUGAUCCCGGCACACCAUGUCAUGAAACGAUGGACAAUAGAUGCACGUGACAUCCUACCUGACCAUCUUAAACAUUACCAGAAAGACACGAGUCCUAUUGAAUCUCCAACAUACAGAGACUCUUCUUUGUACAAUGCCGCACUUGAGCUGGUCAGACUUGGCGACACAAAUGUUAAGAGUUACGAGUUCACUAUUAAUUACAUAAAGGAAGGAUUAUUGAAUGUGGCCCCUCUUUGCAAUAGGGGAGAUGGCAUGAGUGUGUUGGACAAAGCUUCAAGUGUUGCUAGGUCAAAUGCAACAAGCAAAAUCAGGGGAGAUAUGAGCAUGAACAUGGCAGCUGAUGCACAAGAAUUUUCAGAACUCCGUCACAUUCAUAUGGCAAAAUGCACAAGGUCUGAAAGUUCGUGCAUGAAUGGAGGUGAUGCUAACGAAGGUGAAAGUUCAGAGUUAAUGAACGAUGUAUUCUCACCUGAUAGAAGUCACCAUGAGUUAUCCGCGCCACCUCCAAAGAGGUUGAAAGGCAGACCUACGACAGCAAGAGAGAAGGCGCCUUAUGAGAAGAAUGUUAAGAGAUCGAGAUUCUGCAAGAUUUGCAGGGGCGAAGGACACAAAUGCACAACAUGUUCAAUGAGAGGUGAUGCACCGGUUAAACCGCGAAAACAAUCUACUUGCACAAAUUGUGGUGUAGCAGGGCAUCGACGGAACAGUUGCGGCAAGAAGGCAAUGUUCAACGACAAGAUUGUUAUGGAAUGA